rnacentral:rRNA from 1 species
UGCGUAGGCGGCCUGUUAAGUCAGAGGUGAAAGACGGUAGCUCAACUAUCGCAGUGCCUUUGAUACUGACGGGCUUGAAUAAACUAGAGGUAGGCGGAAUGAGACAAGUAGCGGUGAAAUGCAUAGAUAUGUCUCAGAACACCGAUUGCGAAGGCAGCUUACUAUGGUUUUAUUGACGCUGAGGCACGAAAGCGUGGGGAUCAAACAGGAUUAGAUACCCUGGUAGUCCACGCCCUAAACGAUGAAUACUCGCUGUUAGCGAUAUACAGUUAGCGGCUAAGCGAAAGCGUUAAGUAUUCCACCUGGGGAGUACGCUCGCAAGAGUGAA